UACGAAGGGGGCUAGCGUUGUUCGGAAUUACUGGGCGUAAAGCGCACGUAGGCGGAUUUGUAAGUCAGGGGUGAAAUCCCGGGGCUCAACCUCGGAACUGCCUUUGAUACUGCAAGUCUCGAGUCCGAUAGAGGUGAGUGGAAUUCCUAGUGUAGAGGUGAAAUUCGUAGAUAUUAGGAAGAACACCAGUGGCGAAGGCGGCUCACUGGAUCGGUACUGACGCUGAGGUGCGAAAGCGUGGGAGCAACAGGG
rnacentral:rRNA from 1 species